UACGGAGGGUGCAAGCGUUAUCCGGAUUCACUGGGUUUAAAGGGUGCGUAGGCGGGCAGGUAAGUCAGUGGUGAAAUCUCCAAGCUUAACUUGGAACUGCCGUUGAUACUAUCUGUCUUGAAUAUUGUGGAGGUGAGCGGAAUAUGUCAUGUAGCGGUGAAAUGCUUAGAUAUGACAUAGAACACCAAUUGCGAAGGCAGCUCACUACACAAUCAUUGACUCUGAGGCACGAAAGCGUGGGGAUCAAACAGG
rnacentral:rRNA from 1 species